rnacentral:lncRNA from 1 species
GACGACGCUAGGGCUUGGCUGAUCUUCCCAUAGUAAGCAGUAUCCAUCUCAAAGCGCUUUGCUUCCAGGGCAUGUCGCUUAUCCUGAUCCUCCAUCCUCACUCUAAUCUCCUGAUUAGCCGCCUGAAUCCGAGCAACACUCAUCUCCAAUUCAGCUUUCUCUGCAAGCAACUGAUCUCUGGCUCUCUUCAUCUCGAGGAAUUCUUCCAUACUGACAGAAG